rnacentral:rRNA from 1 species
UACGUAGGGUGCGAGCGUUGUCCGGAAUUAUUGGGCGUAAAGAGCUUGUAGGCGGUUUGUCGCGUCUGCUGUGAAAAUCCGGGGCUCAACUCCGGAUCUGCGGUGGGUACGGGCAGACUAGAGUGUGGUAGGGGAGAUCGGAAUUCCUGGUGUAGCGGUGGAAUGCGCAGAUAUCAGGAGGAACACCGGUGGCGAAGGCGGAUCUCUGGGCCAUAACUGACGCUGAGGAGCGAAAGCAUGGGGAGCGAACAGG